rnacentral:miRNA from 1 species
AUUGAAAUAGGAUACUAAAGCG